UACGGAGGGUGCAAGCGUUAUCCGGAUUUACUGGGUUUAAAGGGUGUGUAGGCGGGCUUUUAAGUCAGUGGUGAAAUCUCCGGGCUCAACCCGGAAACUGCCAUUGAUACUAUUAGUCUUGAAUUUUGUUGAGGUAGGCGGAAUAAGUCAUGUAGCGGUGAAAUGCUUAGAUAUGACUUAGAACACCAAUUGCGAAGGCAGCUUGCUAAAGCAAACAUUGACGCUGAAGGCACGAAAGCGUGGGGAUCAAACAGG
rnacentral:rRNA from 1 species